rnacentral:rRNA from 1 species
CAGGAUGAACGCUAGCGACAGGCUUAACACAUGCAAGUCGAGGGGCAGCACAGGUAGCAAUACCGUUUGGCGACCGGCGCACGGGUGAGUAACGCGUAUGCAACUUGCCUAUCAGAGGGGGAUAACCCGGCGAAAGUCGGACUAAUACCGCAUGAAGCAGGGGCCCCGCAUGGGGAUAUUUGCUAAAGAUUCAUCGCUGAUAGAUAGGCAUGCGUUCCAUUAGGCAGUUGGCGGGGUAACGGCCCACCAAACCGACGAUGGAUAGGGGUUCUGAGAGGAAGGUCCCCCACAUUGGUACUGAGACACGGACCAAACUCCUACGGGAGGCAGCAGUGAGGAAUAUUGGUCAAUGGGCGUAAGCCUGAACCAGCCAAGUCGCGUGAGGGAUGAAGGUUCUAUGGAUCGUAAACCUCUUUUAUAAGGGAAUAAAGUGCGGGACGUGUCCCGUUUUGUAUGUACCUUAUGAAUAAGGAUCGGCUAACUCCGUGCCAGCAGCCGCGGUAAUACGGAGGAUCCGAGCGUUAUCCGGAUUUAUUGGGUUUAAAGGGUGCGUAGGCGGCCUUUUAAGUCAGCGGUGAAAGUCUGUGGCUCAACCAUAGAAUUGCCGUUGAAACUGGGGGGCUUGAGUAUGUUUGAGGCAGGCGGAAUGCGUGGUGUAGCGGUGAAAUGCAUAGAUAUCACGCAGAACCCCGAUUGCGAAGGCAGCCUGCCAAGCCAUUACUGACGCUGAUGCACGAAAGCGUGGGGAUCAAACAGGAUUAGAUACCCUGGUAGUCCACGCAGUAAACGAUGAUCACUAGCUGUUUGCGAUACACUGUAAGCGGCACAGCGAAAGCGUUAAGUGAUCCCCCUG